UACGAAGGGGGCUAGCGUUGUUCGGAAUUACUGGGCGUAAAGGGCGCGUAGGCGGCGUGUCAAGUCCGUUGUUAAAGCCCCCGGCUCAACUGGGGGAGGUCAAUGGAGACUGGCAGACUUGAGGCAACAGAGACACAUGGAACUCCCGGUGUAGCGGUGGAAUGCGUAGAGAUCGGGAAGAACACCCGUGGCGAAGGCGGCUCUCUGGAACGCAACUGACGCUGAGACGCGAAAGCGUGGGGAGCAAACAGGG
rnacentral:rRNA from 1 species